AUCUCCUGAUGAACGCUGUAACGCCGUCCAUUUCCAUCUUCGCGCCAUGAAUUUUUUUCAGAGCUUUAGAGAGAGAAAGAAGAAGAGACCGAAGAAACCGAUCUGUUAGCGAAGAUCAAGUUCCAUUUGAGGAUCCUCCAUAUUCGUAGAGAAAAUCCCGAAAUCUUGCCGACCUUCUCCACCCGCUAAUGGCGGAGAGGAGCAUUCACAUGCUCCACAUUCUCGAGCCGAGAAGGGAUGCCUAUGGAUUUGCUCUGAGACCUCAACACACUCAUAGAUAUAGAGAGUAUGCUAACAUUUACAAGGAGGAGGAAGAGGAAAGGUGUGAUAAGUGGAAGAACUUUCUUGAUCGAGUAGCUAUAUCAUUUCAAGUUUGUCCUCUCGAGGAAAAUACACUGCAGUCUGAACCUACCGAGCAUCAAGAAGAAACCAAAUCGGGGAGGAGUAGCACAGGGAAUGACUCAACUGGCUCAAAAUCUGAUUCUGUUGACACAACAGAUAGUGGUCCUACAAAACUAUUAGAGCCUCCAAUUGAAACACAAAAACGUGUUGUUCAGACUUGGUGUCAAACUAGGCCAUCUCUAAAUGCCAUUGAGAUUAUGAUGAGCUCUCGUGUUAAAAAGAAGAUUAUGAAAGAUGAAAAGACAAUUAAUGGUGGAGAUCAUCUUCCACCGCUAGAGGAGGCAGAAUCUUUAGAAGGAACAUCUGUGGCAAACUCUGAAGAUGAGGAAGCUUGCUUUAGUGGAUCACUGAAUCGUAGCCCAUCUGCUACUGGGGCAGAAAGUAGGGUGGAUGAAUGCAUUUCUAACAGCAUGAAGCCCUCCCGGAGAGAUGGCAUUGUGGGUGAUGGAGUUUCACAAGCUCACUUGUUUACAUGGAAGGAAGAAUUAGAAUGCCUUGUUCGUGGGGGGUUGCCUAAAGAUCUGAGGGGAGAGGUGUGGCAAGCCUUUGUAGGUGUAAAGACCCGUCGAAUCGAGAAAUAUUACCAGGAUUUGUUGGAUCAAGAAACUAAUUGUAGUGCAGAUAAUGAGAACAAUAUCCCAUCUGGUGUACCAAUAAAAUUGAAAAAACAGAUUGAGAAGGAUAUACCACGAACAUUUCCUGGUCAUCCUGCCCUGGAUGAGAAUGGUAGAGACUCCUUGAGGCGUUUACUUUUAGCAUACGCUCUUCACAAUCCCUCUGUUGGUUACUGUCAGGCAAUGAAUUUCUUUGCGGGCAUAUUACUACUUCUCAUGCCCGAGGAGAAUGCCUUUUGGACUCUGGUUGGAAUAAUAGAUGACUAUUUUGAUGGAUAUUACACCGAGGAAAUGAUAGAAUCACAGGUGGACCAGCUUGUUUUCGAGGAAUUAAUGCGUGAAAGAUUUCCUAAAUUGGGUCAUGCAUUUUAUCUUUUUCCACAUCUUUCAUUUUUCUCUGGCAUGUAUUUUCACUACGAGACGUCAGGGUCAGUUUGCUCAUUUGUUGAUAUUUCUGAUGCAGUUAAACAUUUGGAUUACUUGGGAGUUCAAGUGGCAUGGAUCACAGGACCUUGGUUCCUUUCCAUUUUUGUAAAUAUGCUUCCGUGGGAGAGUGUACUCCGAGUUUGGGAUGUGCUUCUGUUUGAAGGCAACAGGGUCAUGCUGUUCCGGACAGCACUUGCAUUGAUGGAAUUAUAUGGUCCUGCACUAGUUACUACAAAAGAUGCGGGGGAUGCCAUAACUCUGUUACAAUCCCUUGCUGGUUCCACAUUCGAUAGUAGCCAGCUUGUGUUGACUGCUUGCAUGGGCUUUCUGACUGUAACUGAAGUAAGACUAGUAGAGUUGAGAGAAAAGCUCCGGCCAUCUGUACUAGCUGUAAUUGAAGAAAGAACAAAGAAGGGUCGGGUUUGGAAGGACUCCAAAGGGCUAGCUUCCAAGCUUUAUAGUUUCAAGCAUGAUCCUGGAUCACCUGUAGAGAGGAAAAAGACAGCUGCAGGAGCCGAUGUAGAACCCUGCACCCCUAAUCUUGAUGACUUCCUUAAUGGAUUAGCCGGUGAUUCAGAAACAGAGUCAGUCCCAGACCUUCAAGAACAAGUAGUAUGGUUGAAGGUUGAGUUGUGCAGGUUGCUCGAGGAGAAAAGAUCUGCGGUUCUAAGAGCUGAGGAGCUAGAAACGGCACUCAUGGAAAUGGUUACCCAAGAUAAUCGACGACUAUUAAGUGCCAGGGUUGAACAACUGGAGAUAGAGGUAGCUGAGCUAAAGAAAACUCUAGCAGAGAAGAAAGAGCAAGAAGUUGCAAUGCUUCAGUUGUUGAUGCGUGUUGAACAAGAGCAAAGAGUAACUGAGGAAGCUAGAAUAAAUGCCGAGCAAGACGUAGCAGCUCAGAAAUAUGCUGUUCAUAUGCUUCAGGAUAAAUACGAGAAAGCUAUGGCUUCACUUGCUGAGAUGGAGAAAAGGGUGGUGAUGGCCGAAUCCAUGUUGGAAGCUACAUUACAAUAUGAAUCUGGCCAAGUUAAAGCAAUGGCAUCUCCCGGGUCGCGUAAUCAAGGAUCUGCACAGGAAAAUCAAAGAAAGGUUGGUUUGCUGCCAUUUGCACUAGGCUGGCGAGAUCGAAACAAGGGUAAAUCGACCGAAGAACCUUCUGAAUAGAAGACGGUGGCACACAAUGGAAUCAAAAGCAAAUAAAGCUUGAAUUUCUAUUCUCAGAUGGGUCGACAGGCGUAGCUUUGAGGAUCUUUGUUUUAGUUUUCUUCACAUUAGCAGAAGGGAAAGGCUUUUUCUUUAGGUGAAGAACCUCAUUUCAAAGUGAAGUUCAACAACACAGUGACCCGUUCAGGAGACCCACUAAAAGAUACUGGAUUCAACUGUGUGAACAUUCACCUUAAAUAUCCCAUUAACCUUCAUCAGUCCAAGUACAAGCACCAUCCAGUGCAUUCAAUCGAGCUUUUGAAUCACCUUCGGUACUCCUCGUUGUAGUAUAUCCAACGGGUAUGGCUGGAAAGCUUGUCACAGAGCGAAGAUGAGCAUCAUUAUAGUCGUUUAGUUGGAUUUCUG